AAACCGCAGCCCAAAGACGGACAGACGAAAAGUAAUCCCUCGAAACGUCACAGAGAGAGGCUUAAUGCUGAGCUGGACACCUUAGCGAGUCUCUUGCCUUUUGAACAAAAUAUAUUGUCCAAACUCGAUAGAUUGUCCAUCUUACGCCUCUCCGUGUCUUAUCUGCGGACGAAGAGCUACUUUCAAAUCAUGACACAGAGCAGUGGCGAGAAACAAGAGGGAGAUCACCACCCAGCGAGACAUAGAGAUCUCAUCACUUAUGAUCAUCACAUCCUCGACGGGGAAAUGUUCCUACAGGCAUUAAAUGGUUUCUUAGUUAUACUAGACUGUGAAGGGGAAGUUUUUUUCGCAACACAUAACAUUGAAAGUUACUUAGGCUUUCAUCAGAGCGACAUCGUGCACCAGAGCGUGUACGAGCUCGUCCACUCCGAAGACCGAGAGGAACUCCAGCGGCAACUCAUGUGGAACUCUCACCUCCUGCCGGACCAAGCUCAGCUCACUCUGCAGGAGGCGCUGCAGGCGGACCAGACGCCCCUCGAGAGGAACUUCACCGUCAGAUUCAGAUGCCUUUUAGAUAACACAUCAGGGUUUUUGAGGUUGGAUGUCCGGGGUCGAAUCAAAGUCCUCCACGGGCAGAACCGAAAGACCGAAGACCCACCUUUGGCUCUAUUCGCCGUUUGCACGCCCUUCGGCCCGCCCUCGCUCCUCGAACUCCCGCAGAAGGAAGUUAUGUACAAGUCGAAACACAAGUUAGAUCUUGCCCUCGUUUCAAUGGAUCAGAAGGGGAAGAUGCUCCUCGGGUACAGUGACCUCGAAUUAGCCAAUAAGGGCGGUUAUGACCUCGUUCACUAUGAUGACCUCGCUUAUGUCGCCUCAGCGCACCAGGAACUUCUGAAGACGGGUGCGUCGGGUAUGAUCGCUUACCGCCUCCAAACCCGCGACGGUGCCUGGCAGUGGCUCCAGACCUCCUCGCGCCUUGUUUACAAAAAUUCCAAACCCGAUUUUAUCAUUUGUACGCACAGACCUCUCAUGGAGGAGGAAGGGCGUGACCUGCUGGGGAAGCGGACGAUGGACUUCAAGGUGUCGUACCUGGACCCCGGCCUGACCCAGUCGUACCUCUGUGACUCCGAACUGCCGCAGCUCUACGCCUCCCGCAUGAGCCGCAAGUACAAGACGCAGCUGCGGGACUUCCUGACCACGUGUCGCUCCAAGAGGAGCUACACCAACCUCACCGACACGGCCUACAACAACUACAACAACGUGUACGGCGCCUCGGCCUACUCGGCGGACAACGGCCUGUACAUGCAGCAGAACCUGGGCAACCUGCAGUCGCUCUACCCCGCCAGCUACCUGCCCGCCGACAACCUGUUCCACUACCGCCAGCUGGGCACCUACUACCCCGAGUACAUGACGCACGGCUACGUCAGCAACGGCUACGUGGACCCGACGCGCUCGUGCCUCAGCUACGACGCGACGGGGCUGGCCAAGACGGCGGCCGACCAGAAGCUCUACUGCCCCUCGCAGCUCGACGCCUCCAAGUACCAGUACAAGCCGGCCGACGCCUACUCCGCCGUCUACGGCAGCAACGCGGUGCUGCCGUCGAUCGAGCACAAGUACACCGACAUUCGCACGGCGGACGCGCGGCGGGACGACCCGUCGGCGCUGGCGUCGCUGGGGGCGCUGGCGGGCACGCCGGGCACCACGACGCCCGUGGCCGUCAGCUCCGUGUCCACCGCGGCCACGGCGGCGGGCAACAAGGACGAGCCCAAGGACGGCGACGCCUACCCCAACAGCACGCGCCAGACGGUGCUCAUGUGGGGCUCCGCCGCCCACGACUACGACAAGAAGUACCCGGAGGCGCCGCCCACGUCGGCGGCGUCGCUGGAGCAGAGCCCGGGCCUCGGGGGCGUGGCCUGCAAGUGGGGCGCCUCCACGCCCGCGUCGACGCCCGGCGCAGGAAGCAGCGCCGGCGGCUCGCCCCACGGCGGCGGCGAGGGCGCGUCGCCGCACGGCCGGCCGCCUCCCGCCGCCCACGCCGUCGCUACCUCUGCCGCCCACGUCGGCGCCGGCCCUGUGGCGCCCGCGGGUAAGGCAGCGUACGGCUACAGUGAGGGCGGCGAGGUAUGGCACCAUCAGUACUAUCCUUACCACCCGUAUCACACCUCGCACACCAUGGCGGACCCCAGCUAUCCACAGAUCAGCCGCAACCCAAUCCUUUGUUGUCCAUCUCUGAGGUAACGAACACACUCCUCAACCACCAGGAUUAGACAAGGUGGUCACCCUAAAACAGGGAUAAAGAGGAAGAGGCCACCGCUGCUGCCGCCUCAGCUAUACGAGGCAGUCCUGAAGUAACUCCAGAAUCGCCAAUCCUCGCUUAAUCCCCGAAUCCUAAUCCGACAGAAGCUAAUCACUCCGAGGGAUUAACCCGCGAAGAACUAGCUCAGUCGAGGUGUCAGUUGUGAUGGGAGGAACGAGUGCUUGUUUUGAAAGGGAAAGGAAUGACAUUAAAAAAAAGUGAAGGGCGGAGAGGGAGGAGAGAUGGAAAAGAAAGGGUGAAUGGAUAUAUAGUGGAUAGAAAGAGAAGGAGGAAGAGAGAGAGAGAUAGAGAGAGAGAAGGAGAGAGGGUAAAGAAGGAGAAAGAAAAGAUGUGAAAAAUGUACAAUAUAAGAGACAAUGUUUUUUUUAUUUUCUUUAGGAAAAAAAAAACUUGAUACCCCUUUAACGUCUUUAAAAAUCGAUAAAAAAUAAAGAAAAAAAAACUAUUUUCCCCUUCAGUUCAGGAUGAGAAAUAUUUGCAUAUGUCAUUUUUUUUAACUCGUGUAGGAAAUACACGUGAGGUAAUAUUGGCUUUCAUUUUUUUUUAUAAUGAUGAUUAAGAACAUUAUUAUUAGAAAUAUAAAAGCUGCUUUUGUCAAUUUCUUUACUCGAUAUUACCAUUUUCAUUGAUGUAGUUGUCUAGAAGUUUUACGAGUAUUAGAGAGAGAGAGAAAGAGAGAGAGAAAGAUGAUUAUUAAAAAAAAGUUAAACAAAAAGAGAACUAAUAAUUGCUAAUUUAGUACUUAUAGGAAUUUUCAAAAAAGAAAAAAAAUUGUUGCUGACUCCCAUUCUUAUUGUACUAAGGUUUACAUCGUUUCAGGUUAAAUCAAUGUUAUAAUGUUAUAGGUUUGUAGUUCUUUGACAACUACAAAGCACUAUAAUUGCCUUUAUUUUGAUAAACACUCAAGAGACAAAAUUAGUGAUGAUAACAUUAUUAAUCUUAAUAAUGAUAAUGGUAAUCAUAAUUAUGAUGAUAGUAAUAAUGAUAGUGAUAAUUAUUACAGUCAUAAUGACUGUGAUAGCGAUGAUAAUGAUAAUCUAUGGAAGGAAAAGGAAUAAAAUGAAUAUAUUUACCAAUUUUAGCUUCUGUACAAGUUGGAAUUUUUAUUAUUAUUAUUAUUUAUUUAUUUAUUUAUUUAUUUUUUUUAGAAAACAAGGGCAGGUCAGCAGCAUUCAGGGAUUUUUAAAAACGGGAACUUUCAUUCGAAAAAAAUCAUAUUUUAAAUGUCAAAAAUAUGUAUAUUAAAAAAAAAAAACACAUCUUUCCAUAAAAAAAACUAAUAAUGUUCUGUAUUUUGGUAUUGCAAAUAUUUUAUCGUAUCGGAGAGGGAAAAAAAAAAAGAUAUUAUGUCAAUAUGGUCGGUUAGUGUUGAGGAAUUCGCCGGAACAUCGACCUUCGAUGCCCAAUAUGUACAAAACGAUAACAUAAUUCAAGUAACGUUGUGUGUGAAGUUUUAUAAGAGUCUGAAAAUAAGUGAAAAAUUACUUCCUCAAUCUAUUUUGAAUGUGCCAGCGGGUUUAUUAAUAUAUAUCUAUUUUUUUUUUCAUCAUCUAUUAUUAUAAUUGUCAUUGUUGUUUUAACAAGUUCAUUGUUGUUAUCUCUUCACAACGCUCUUAAACUAGCGAUUACGUACAGAUCUAGUCAAACCCUUAAGUAUAUUUUUAGUACAUGACUGGGAUUCUGAGGAACAUUUUAACGUGAGAAAUACGUUAGUGCCUAUAAUGUGAAAAAGAAAAGAAAAGAAAAAAAAACACAGAAAAAAAACAAAAGAAAAUCUUGUUUUUGGAAAUAGUAAAGAAAAAGAAUGAUUAAUUUAAUUGCCUUUGUUAUAAGAGUUCUUGAUGGAGGAAGUUUAUAAUGAAUCCCAGUAUAAUAUGUGAAAUGAUUUUUUUUUUUCUUAUUAUUACGCAAGAGAGUUUGUGUAUUAAACUCUAUAUCGCUGGCGGACGAACUUGAAGAAGAAAAAAUAUAUUUACUUGGAAAAAUAAAAAACUUGAUUCUAGUGAGAAUUAUUAUAUACAUGAGACUUCGAUGGAAGUCUUUUGAUAUUCGCAAAUGCCUUGGGUUUCGAAUACUAGUGCUACGUCAUAGGCCUCCUUCUGGGAGGGUUUUUUUGUAAUAGGUUUGUGUGUUUAUCUUUACCUUUACUUGUCAUUAUUGUUUGUUAUUUUCAUUUUUCGGUUUUUAGGGAGUUUUUUUUUUUUCUUUUUUU
rnacentral:misc_RNA from 1 species